CACAUAUCACUGCCUAAAGAAAGUAGCAACAAGAGAACUGGAUCGGCCUUAACAAGACAAAAACAGAGAAAUGGAAUCUGCUCAUAUCAAAUCCGAUACUAUCCAACAAACAUUAAGGCCGCCAUUUUGAUUUAUUCCUGUUGGCUUUAGUGAACCUUUCCUAAGCGGUAACUAGAAUGCUUUCUGCAUUAAACCUCUUCUAGAGAGGUAAUGAACGUCUUUUUACAUCCCACAUAGAAUGAU